UUGUAUUUCCGGGAAUAAUCUCGAGGGCAGAAUAUUAUGGCCAACUUUGGACUCUUCGUACACUUUAUUGCCAUCGCAAUGCUAGCACUUGCGCCUCCUCCUUAUGAUGGUUGUCCAGGUGGUUGCAGUACCUGGACAAAAAUUGGUAAAUAAAUACCAAAGAAUAGGCAUAUGUUUUAAUUUUGUUGGUUAAAAUGUUAAGCUUAUUUUACUAAUAAACUCAAGAACUUUUGUAUGGUAUUUAAAAAGUA